CCAGAUUACGUGCAGCCGCCUCUCGAACAACAGUUGCAGCAUCUUCUACCAGUUGUUGCACAAUGGACAGAAUUAGAGAAUCACGGAUCUCAGGCUGGACAAACUCUGCAAGCUCUCCACAAGAUUGAGCAACAAGCAGUCUACGCUCCUCAUAUGUGUGGUUUAUUUGUUCCCAACACUGGGGAAGCAAUUCUGUUUCUGUUCUCAUCUCUCCCACAUUCUUUGCAAGA
rnacentral:misc_RNA from 1 species